UCGGGCCUCGGGAGGCAGCAGUGGGGAAUAUUGCACAAUGGGCGAAAGCCUGAUGCAGCAACGCCGCGUGAAGGAAGAAGGGUUUCGGCUCGUAAACUUCUAUUAACAGGGACGAAAGAAAUGACGGUACCUGAAUAAGAAGCCCCGGCUAACUACGUGCCAGCAGCCGCGGUAAUACGUAGGGGGCAAGCGUUAUCCGGAAUUACUGGGUGUAAAGGGUGAGGAGGCGGCAUGGUAAGCCAGAUGUGAAAGCCUUGGGCUUAAACCGAGGAUUGCAUUUGGAACUAUCAAGCUAGAGGACAGGG
rnacentral:rRNA from 1 species